AGCAGGGUAGAACCGCACCCACAGCCCACAGCCAUCAGAGAUAGCCAGGGACCUUCCUUCGGCCCCACUAGCGCAUGGAUGGAGCUGGUCGGGAAAGCAGGGACAGCAAGUUGCAAGAGUUUUCUGAGCAUGAUGCCAUGUGGUCUGGGAUAUUCCAGUGGUCAGCUGGGGUCAGCUGUCCUGGCUGUGUCCGCUCACAACUCCAUGUGCCCCCCCCACCAGCCUCCUCAUUGGUGGUUUGGGGUAAGAGACAGAAAACGCCUUGAUGCUAUGCAAGUGCAGCUCAGCAAUAACAAGAACAUCCCUGUAUUAUCAAUACUUCUUCCAGCACAAAUCUAAAAUACAGCCCUAUACCAACUA